GACGAACGCUGGCGGCGUGCUUAACACAUGCCAGUCGAACGGAAAGGCCCUGCUUUUGUGGGGUGCUCGAGUGGCGAACGGGGGAGUAACACGUGAGUAACCUGCCCUUGACUUAGGGAUAACUUCAGGAAACUGGGGCUAAUACCGGAUAGGAGCUACUGCUGCGUGGUGGGGGUUGGAAAGAUUCGGCGGUUGGGGAUGGACUCGCGGGUUAUCAGCCUGAUGGUGGGGUAGUGGCUUACAAAGGCUUUGAGGGGUAGGCGGCCUGAGAGGGUGGACGGCGACCUUGGGACUGAGGUACGGCCCAGACUCCUACGGGAGGCAGCGGUGGGGAAUAUUGCACAGUGGGCGGAAGCCUGAUGCAGCAACGCCGCGUGCGGGAUGACGGCCUACGGGGUGUAAACCGCUUUCGCCUGUGACGAAGCGUGAGUGACGGUAAUGGGUAAAGAAGCACCGGCUAACUACGUG
rnacentral:rRNA from 1 species